AUUAUUUUGGCAGAAUAGUGCAUUGAAUUUAGAAUUCAAAUAAGUAAUUUUAUUACAAAUAAUA
rnacentral:tRNA from 1 species